rnacentral:rRNA from 1 species
UGGGGAAUCUUGCACAAUGGGGGAAACCCUGAUGCAACGACGCCGCGUGAACGAUGAAGCCCUUCGGGGUGUAAAGUUCUUUCGACAGGAACGAUAAUGACGGUACCUGGAGAAGAAGCUGCGGCUAACUACGUGCCAGCAGCCGCGGUAAUACGUAGGCAGCGAGCGUUGUUCGGAGUUACUGGGCGUAAAGAGUGCGUAGGCGGCGAGCCAAGUUUGGUGUGAAAUCUCCCGGCUUAACCGGGAGGGUGCGCCGAAAACUGGUAGGCUGGAGUAUGGGAGAGGAAAGCGGAAUUCCUGGUGUAGCGGUGAAAUGCGUAGAUAUCAGGAGGAACACCUGCGGUGUAGACAGCUUUCUGGACCAAAACUGACGCUGAGGCACGAAAGCGUGGGUAGCAAACA